GACGAACGCUGGCGGCGUGCUUAACACAUGCAAGUCGAACGGAAAGGCCCUGCUUUUGUGGGGUGCUCGAGUGGCGAACGGGUGAGUAACACGUGAGUAACCUGCCCUUGACUUUGGGAUAACUUCAGGAAACUGGGGCUAAUACCGGAUAGGAGCUCCUGCUGCAUGGUGGGGGUUGGAAAGUUUCGGCGGUUGGGGAUGGACUCGCGGCUUAUCAGCUUGUUGGUGGGGUAGUGGCUUACCAAGGCUUUGACGGGUAGCCGGCCUGAGAGGGUGACCGGCCACAUUGGGACUGAGAUACGGCCCAGACUCCUACGGGAGGCAGCAGUGGGGAAUAUUGCACGAUGGGCGGAAGCCUGAUGCAGUAACGCCGCGUGCGGGAUGACGGCCUUCGGAUUGUAAACCGCUUUCGCCUGUGACGAAGCGUGAGUGACGGUAAUGGGUAAAGAAGCACCGGCUAACUACGUGCCAGCAGCCGCGGUGAUACGUAGGGUGCGAGCGUUGUCCGGAUUUAUUGGGCGUAAAGGGCUCGUAGGUGGUUGAUCGCGUCGGAAGUGUAAUCUUGGGGCUUAACCCUGAGCGUGCUUUCGAUACGGGUUGACUUGAGGAAGGUAGGGGAGAAUGGAAUUCCUGGUGGAGCGGUGGAAUGCGCAGAUAUCAGGAGGAACACCAGUGGCGAAGGCGGUUCUCUGGGCCUUUCCUGACGCUGAGGAGCGAAAGCGUGGGGAGCGAACAGGCUUAGAUACCCUGGUAGUCCACGCUGUAAACGGUGGGUACUAGGUGUGGGGUCCAUUCCACGGGUUCCGUGCCGUAGCUAACGCUUUAAGUACCCCGCCUGGGGAGUACGGCCGCAAGGCUAAAACUCAAAGGAAUUGACGGGGCCCCGCACAAGCGGCGGAGCAUGCGGAUUAAUUCGAUGCAACGCGUAGAACCUUACCUGGGUUUGACAUGGAUCGGGAGUGCUCAGAGAUGGGUGUGCCUCUUUUGGGGUCGGUUCACAGGUGGUGCAUGGCUGUCGUCAGCUCGUGUCGUGAGAUGUUGGGUUAAGUCCCGCAACGAGCGCAACCCUUGUUCACUGUUGCCAGCACGUUAUGGUGGGGACUCAGUGGAGACCGCCGGGGUCAACUCGGGGGAAGGUGGGGAUGACGUCAAGUCAUCAUGCCCCUUAUGUCCAGGGCUUCACGCAUGCUACAAUGGCUGGUACAGAGAGUGGCGAGCCUGUGAGGGUGAGCGAAUCUCGGAAAGCCGGUCUCAGUUCGGAUUGGGGUCUGCAACUCGACCUCAUGAAGUCGGAGUCGCUAGUAAUCGCAGAUCAGCAACGCUGCGGUGAAUACGUUCCCGGG
rnacentral:rRNA from 1 species